GUCAAAAACUCCGCUUCUUCUUUUUCUUCUUCUUCAAUGGUUAAAGAUGGGAGUGAAGAAGGGUUUAACUGAAUUGGAGGCUGAGCUUAAAAAGAUGGCACCACCUAAUGGUAGAGCUAUUUUGAUAUUCAGGGCAAGGUGCCUUUUUUUCUCUUUUGAAUCUUCUCUUAGAAAAUUGUUUAUUGAAAAUUCUGAUUUUUACUCUUUAGUUUGAUUCUUCUUUAUAUAUCUUAUUCAAAAAUAAAAAAUCUUAAAUCAAACAAUUGAAUCUGUCAAAAGAGUAAGUAGAAUGGAGAAAGAAGCUCACUGAUUUCAGGUGCAAAACAACCCUCGCCGGCGUUCGUGCAAAACUCAACCCCACAUCCGAGAAGACCACACAACGGAAUUGGGGUUAGGGUUUUUUGGGGCGUGGUAUUUGAUUCCGGGGUCGGUGGGGUUGGUCGGAGAACCGCCAGAUGUGGCAGGGCGAUGAUGAAUAAAGGGAGAAAGUGUUGCUGAGAGAGAGAAGAAAAGGGAUUUAGG